GCAAGUCGAACGAUGACACUAUAGAUUGCUAGUGAUAAUUAGUGGCGGACGGGUGAGUAACAUUUAGGAAUCUGCCUAGUAGUGGGGGAUAGCUCGGGGAAACUCGAAUUAAUACCGCAUACGACCUACGGGUGAAAGGGGGCGCAAGCUCUUGCUAUUAGAUGAGCCUAAAUCAGAUUAGCUAGUUGGUGGGGUAAAGGCCCACCAAGGCGACGAUCUGUAGCUGGUCUGAGAGGAUGAUC
rnacentral:rRNA from 1 species